rnacentral:rRNA from 1 species
UAGGGAAUCUUCGGCAAUGGACGGAAGUCUGACCGAGCAACGCCGCGUGAGUGAAGAAGGUUUUCGGAUCGUAAAGCUCUGUUGUAAGAGAAGAACGAGUGUGAGAGUGGAAAGUUCACACUGUGACGGUAUCUUACCAGAAAGGGACGGCUAACUACGUGCCAGCAGCCGCGGUAAUACGUAGGUCCCGAGCGUUGUUCGGAUUUAUUGGGCGUAAAGCGAGCGCAGGCGGUUAGAUAAGUCUGAAGUUAAAGGCUGUGGCUUAACCAUAGUAGGCUUUGGAAACUGUUUAACUUGAGUGCAAGAGGGGAGAGUGGAAUUCCAUGUGUAGCGGUGAAAUGCGUAGAUAUAUGGAGGAACACCGGUGGCGAAAGCGGCUCUCUGGCUUGUAACUGACGCUGAGGCUCGAAAGCGUGGGGAGCAAACAGGAUUAGAUACCCUGGUAGUCCACGCUGUAAACGAUGAGUGCUAGGUGUUAGACCCUUUCCGGGGUUUAGUGCCGUAGCUAACGCAUUAAGCACUCCGCCUGGGGAGUACGACCGCAAGGUUG